AGUUCGAGCGGUAGCACGGGAGAGCUUGCUCUCUGGGUGACGAGCGGCGGACGGGUGAGUAAUGUCUGGGGAUCUGCCUGAUGGAGGGGGAUAACUACUGGAAACGGUAGCUAAUACCGCAUAACGUCGCAAGACCAAAGAGGGGGACCUUCGGGCCUCUUGCCAUCAGAUGAACCCAGAUGGGAUUAGCUAGUAGGUGGGGUAACGGCUCACCUAGGCGACGAUCCCUAGCUGGUCUGAGAGGAUGACCAGCCACACUGGAACUGAGACACGGUCCAGACUCCUACGGGAGGCAGCAGUGGGGAAUAUUGCACAAUGGGCGCAAGCCUGAUGCAGCCAUGCCGCGUGUAUGAAGAAGGCCUUCGGGUUGUAAAGUACUUUCAGCGAGGAGGAAGGCAUUAAGGUUAAUAACCUUGGUGAUUGACGUUACUCGCAGAAGAAGCACCGGCUAACUCCGUGCCAGCAGCCGCGGUAAUACGGAGGGUGCAAGCGUUAAUCGGAAUUACUGGGCGUAAAGCGCACGCAGGCGGUUUGUUAAGUCGGAUGUGAAAUCCCCGGGCUCAACCUGGGAACUGCAUUCGAAACUGGCAAGCUUGAGUCUUGUAGAGGGGGGUAGAAUUCCAGGUGUAGCGGUGAAAUGCGUAGAGAUCUGGAGGAAUACCGGUGGCGAAGGCGGCCCCCUGGACAAAGACUGACGCUCAGGUGCGAAAGCGUGGGGAGCAAACAGGAUUAGAUACCCUGGUAGUCCACGCCGUAAACGAUGUCGACUUUGGAGGUUGUGCCCUUUGAGGCGUGGCUUCCGGAGCUAACGCGUUAAGUCGACCGCCUGGGGGAGUACCGGCCGCAAGGUUAAAACUCAAAUGAAUUUGACGGGGGGCCCGCACAAGCGGGGGGAGCAUGUGGUUUUAAUUCGAUGCAACGCCGAAAACCUUUACCUACUCUUUGACA
rnacentral:rRNA from 1 species